rnacentral:rRNA from 1 species
GAACAUUUGACCUUGCAUUACGCCAGAUUUGGACGCCUGCGGUUCUACCAUAAAAGUUUGAUCCUGGUUCAGACUGAACCCUAGCGCUGGCUUGCCCUUGCUCGUCCAGGGGUAACAGGAGGUACCAAUACUGUGCUGACGACCGGCGGAUGGGUGAGUAACGCGUAUGCCAUCUACCUUUUACCCGGGGAUAGCCCAUGGAAACGUGGAUUAAUACCCGAUGCUUUUCUUUUGUGUCCUCAUUAAUGAAAUAAAGAUUCAUCGGUAAUAGAUGAGCAUGCGUUCCAUUACGAAGUUGGUAAGGUAACGGCUUACCAAUCCGAUGAUGGAUAGGGGUUCUGAGAGGAAGGUCCCCCACACUGGAAUUGACAUACGGUCCAGACUCCUACGGGAGGCAGCAGUGAGGAAUAUUGGUCAAUGGUCGUAAGACUGAACCAGCCAAGUCGCGUGAAGGAAACUGCCCUAUGGGUUUUCAACUUCUUUUGUCAGGGAAGGAUAAGGGGGAUUCAAUUCUCCGAUGCCGGUACCUGGCGAAUAAGGAUCGGCUAACUCCGUGCCAGCAGCCGCGGUAAUACGGAGGAUCCGAGCGUUAUCCGGAUUUAUUGGGUUUAAAGGGUGCUUAGGCGGCAUAUUAAGUUAGUGGUCAAAUGGUCCGGCUCAACCGGAUUUCGCCAUUAACACUGAUGUGCUAGAGAUUAAACGAGGUAGGCGGAAUAA